GGGAAGGUGGCUCAGUGGUAGAGUGCUUGCCUUGCAUGCAUGAGGCCCUGGGUUCCAUUCCUCAGCCCA
rnacentral:tRNA from 1 species